AUUAAAGUGGUUGAUUUGCGUUCAAUUGAUGCAGAGUAGGUUUUGCAGUCCUUA
rnacentral:tRNA from 1 species